GACGAACGCUGGCGGCGUGCCUAAUACAUGCAAGUAGAACGCUGAAGGAGGAGCUUGCUUCUCUGGAUGAGUUGCGAACGGGUGAGUAACGCGUAGGUAACCUGCCUGGUAGCGGGGGAUAACUAUUGGAAACGAUAGCUAAUACCGCAUAAGAGUAGAUGUUGCAUGACAUUUGCUUAAAAGGUGCAAUUGCAUCACUACCAGAUGGACCUGCGUUGUAUUAGCUAGUUGGUGAGGUAACGGCUCACCAAGGCGACGAUACAUAGCCGACCUGAGAGGGUGAUCGGCCACACUGGGACUGAGACACGGCCCAGACUCCUACGGGAGGCAGCAGUAGGGAAUCUUCGGCAAUGGACGGAAGUCUGACCGAGCAACGCCGCGUGAGUGAAGAAGGGUUUCGGAUCGUAAAGCUCUGUUGUAAGAGAAGAACGAGUGUGAGAGUGGAAAGUUCACACUGUGACGGUAGCUGACCAGAAAGGGACGGCUAACUACGUG
rnacentral:rRNA from 1 species